CCUACGGGAGGCAGCAGUCAAGAAUAUUCCACAAUGCACGAAAGUGUGAUGGAGCGACACCGCGUGCGGGAAGAAGGCCUUCGGGUUGUAAACCGCUUUUAUAAGGGAAGAAUUUGUGACGGUACCUUAUGAAUAAGAGGUUGCUAACUCUGUGCCAGCAGCAGCGGUAAUACAGAGACCUCAAACGUUAUCCGGAUUUAUUGGGCGUAAAGCGUCCGCAGGUGGUUACAUAAGUCAAUAGUCAAAUCCUGGUGCUUAACAUCAGGACUGCAAGUGAUAUUGUGCAACUAGAGACUGGGAGAGGCAAGCGGAACUAUCGGUGUAGUCGUAAUAAGCGCUGAUAUCGAUAGGAACACCAAAGGCGAAGGCAGCUUGCUAGAACAGUUCUGACACUCAUGGACGAAAGCGUGGGUAGCAAAUGGGAUUAGAUACCCCAGUAGUC
rnacentral:rRNA from 1 species